rnacentral:rRNA from 1 species
UACGGGGGGGGCAAGCGUUGUUCGGAAUUACUGGGCGUAAAGGGCUCGUAGGCGGCCAACUAAGUCCGACGUGAAAUCCCCAGGCUUAACCUGGGAACUGCGUCGGAUACUGGAUGGCUUGAAUUCGGGAGAGGGAUGCAGAAUUCCAGGUGUAGCGGUGAAAUGCGUAGAGAUCCGGAGGAACACCGAAGGCGAAGGCAGUGUCCUGGGGAGUACCUGACGCUCAGGUGCGAAAGCUAGGGGAGCGAACGGG